rnacentral:tRNA from 1 species
GGGAGUUUGGUUACUGUCGCUGCUAACGAUGGGGGGAACAGGUUUCUGUUCGGCUCUCU